rnacentral:rRNA from 1 species
UAGGGAAUCUUCCACAAUGGACGCAAGUCUGAUGGAGCAACGCCGCGUGAGUGAAGAAGGUUUUCGGACCGUAAAGCUCUGUUGUUGGUGAAGAAGGAUAGAGGUAGUAACUGGCCUUUAUUUGACGGUAAUCAACCAGAAAGUCACGGCUAACUACGUGCCAGCAGCCGCGGUAAUACGUAGGUGGCAAGCGUUGUCCGGAUUUAUUGGGCGUAAAGCGAGCGCAGGCGGAAGAAUAAGUCUGAUGUGAAAGCCCUCGGCUUAACCGAGGAAUUGCAUCGGAAACUGUUUUCUUGAGUGCAGAAGAGGAGAGUAGAACUCCAUGUGUAGCGGUGGAAUGCGUAGAUAUAUGGAAGAAUACCAGUGGCGAAGGCGGCUCUCUGGUCUGCAACUGACGCUGAGGCUCGAAAAGCAUGGGUAGCGAACAGGAUUAGAUACCCUGGUAGUCCAUGCCGUAAAACGAUGAGUGCUAAGUGUUGGGAGGCUUCCGCCUCUCAGUGCUGCAGCUAACGCAUUAAGCACUCCGCCUGGGGGAGUACGACCGCAAGGUUGAAAC